UACGGAAGGCAGCAGGUGGGGAAUAUUGCACAAUGGGCGAAAGCCUGAUGCAGCUAUGCCGCGUGUAUGAAGAAGGCCUUAGGGUUGUAAAGUACUUUCAUCGGGGAGGAAAAAACAAAACUAAUAAUUUUAUUUCUUGACGUUACCCGAAAAAGAAGCACCGGCUAACUCCGUGCCAGCAGCCGCGGUAAUACGGAGGGUGCUAGCGUUAAUCAGAAUUACUGGGCGUAAAGAGCACGUAGGUGGUUUUUUUAAGUCAGAUGUGAAAUCCCUGGGCUUAACCUAGGAACUGCAUUUUGAAACUGAAAUACUAGAGUAUCGUAGAGGGAGGUAGAAUUCUAGGUGUAGCGGUGAAAUGCGUAGAUAUCUGGAGGAAUACCUGUGGCGAAAGCGGCCUCCUAAACCGAAUACUGACACUGAGGUGCGAAAGCGUGGGGAGCAAACAGGGAUUAGAUA
rnacentral:rRNA from 1 species